GAUGAACGCUGGCGGCGUGCCUAAUACAUGCAAGUCGAGCGAACAGACGAGGAGCUUGCUCCUCUGACGUUAGCGGCGGACGGGUGAGUAACACGUGGAUAACCUACCUAUAAGACUGGGAUCACUUCGGGAAACCGGAGCUAAUACCGGAUAAUAUAUUGAACCGCAUGGUUCAAUAGUGAAAGACGGUUUUGCUGUCACUUAUAGAUGGAUCCGCGCCGCAUUAGCUAGUUGGUAAGGUAACGGCUUACCAAGGCAACGAUGCGUAGCCGACCUGAGAGGAGGACCGGCCACACUGGAACUGAGACACGGUCCAGACUCCUACGGGAGGCAGCAGUAGGGAAUCUUCCGCAAUGGGCGCAAGCCUGAUGGAGCAACGCCGCGUGAGUGAUGAAGGCCUUCGGAUCGUAAAACUCUGUUAUUAGGGAAGAACAAAUGUGUAAGUAACUAUGCACGUCUUGACGGUACCUAAUCAGAAAGCCACGGCUAACUACGUG
rnacentral:rRNA from 1 species